UACGUAGGUGGCAAGCGUUAUCCGGAAUUACUGGGCGUAAAGCGCACGCAGGCGGUCUUUUAAGUUUGACGUGAAAGCUCCCGGCUUAACUGGGAGAGGUCGUUGAAGACUGGGAGACUUGAGGCAAUGAGAGGGGUGUAGAAUUCCUGGUGUAGUGGUGGAAUGCGUAGAUAUCAGGAGGAACACCGGUGGCGAAGGCGGAUCUCUGGGCCAUUACUGACGCUGAGGAGCGAAAGCGUGGGGAGCGAACAGG
rnacentral:rRNA from 1 species